rnacentral:pre_miRNA from 1 species
GGUGCCAUGGGAGGGAUACCAAUCCAGCCUUAGGAAAAGAAACUUUCCACGGGAGUCUUGGAGAUUGGCAACCGUCCUAAUGACUUA